rnacentral:rRNA from 1 species
UACAGAGGUCUCAAGCGUUGUUCGGAUUCAUUGGGCGUAAAGGGUGCGUAGGUGGCGGGGCAAGUCAGGUGUGAAAUCUCGGGGCUCAACCCCGAAACUGCACUUGAUACUGCCUUGCUCGAGUACUGGAGAGGAGACUGGAAUUUACGGUGUAGCGGUGAAAUGCGUAGAUAUCGUAAGGAAGACCAGUGGCGAAGGCGGGUCUCUGGACAGUUCCUGACGCUGAGGCACGAAGGCCAGGGGGAGCAAACGGG